rnacentral:rRNA from 1 species
AUUGAACGCUGGCGGCAGGCCUAACACAUGCAAGUCGAACGAGUGGCGGACGGGUGAGUAAUGUCUGGGAAACUGCCCGAUGGAGGGGGAUAACUACUGGAAACGGUAGCUAAUACCGCAUACCAUCGGAUGUGCCCAGAUGGGCGUAGCUAGUAGGUGGGGUAACGGCUCACCUAGGCGACGAUCCCUAGCUGGUCUGAGAGGAUGACCAGCAACACGGGAACUGAGACACGGGCCAUACUCCUACGGGAGGCAGCAGUGGGGAAUAUUGACAAAUGGGCGCAAGCCUGAUGCAGCCAUGCCGCUUGUAUGAAGAAGGCCUUCGGGUUGUAAAGUACUUUCAGCUAGGAGGCGUUACUCGCAGAAUAAGCACCGGCUAACUCCGUGCCAGCAGCCGCGGUAAUAC